UUCUCGGUGGCGCAAUGGUAGCGUGUAGGUUUCCGGUUCUCAUGCUGCGAAUCUACCUAAGGCUGUGGGUUCGAGUCCCAUCCGGGAAG